rnacentral:rRNA from 1 species
UACGAAGGGGGCGAGCGUUGUUCGGAAUUACUGGGCGUAAAGGGCGCGUAGGCGGCCUUCUAAGUCGAACGUGAAAUCCCCGGGCUCAACCCGGGAACUGCGUCCGAUACUGGAAGGCUUGAAUCCGGGAGAGGGAUGUGGAAUUCCAGGUGUAGCGGUGAAAUGCGUAGAUAUCUGGAGGAACACCGGUGGCGAAGGCGACAUCCUGGACCGGUAUUGACGCGUGAGGCGCGAAAGCUAGGGGAGCAAACGGGG